ACCAGACCAUGCAUCCGCCCUCUCUUCGGUCAAGGAAAAGGAGACCAGUCCCAGACUGCCAGGUAUGGCAUAUAUCCGGAGAGUCCGUCUCACCGCUGCUGUGUUGGCCGGGGAAGCACACCGGAGAGAAGGGGGAGUGGGGGUGGUUCACUACCCCCCUGCAGACCGUGGAGAAGAAUCCGCGGAACGAGAGGUCGUUGCAGAGCGGGAGGAGGCGCCGAGGGUCCUCUGUAUAGGUAGAGCGCCGCUCCGGGGUCCAGGUUGGACAUCAGGCUUUGAGGGUAGAAAUAGGGCGACGGAAACAUUCUCUGAAGAGCAGAGUAAUUUCCAGCCUCCGCUAACAGUUCCAGUCCAACCGCUGUCUGCCUCUUCCACUUUGUUCUAUUCGGACAAGAAACAGUAGAUAUUAGUAAGGGAACUCUUAUCGUAAAGUUCUAAAUAAGUUUGAAAAGUACAGUUCAAAUAUUUUUAUUAUAAGACUCGGAUCAUAAAGUUUAGAAUUCAAUCACAACUGCAUGCAUAAAAAAACAUAUUUGUCGAAAACCCGUUGAAAAUGCAUGCACAAAUAAGAUACGUGGUUCAAUUUCAACGAAAUAAAAAUUUUCUUACUGGAUGUAGGCCUUCCUUGUUAGUAAAAACGUUAACAAAACAUGUAGCAUAGUUUCUUACCACAAUAUACAUUUUCUUUUCCAUUGUGGGGUUUGAAAUGCACAUUUAAUUUCAGUCAUUAAAGUUCAGUAAGUUGGAAACAUCUGUAUUCAAUGGGUGAAUUUUCGGUUUGGGAUUGUAUUGGUGUCAUCAUGGCGUCGGAAAUGUGUUUUCCACUAUUUUUCAAAUAAAGAUGCAAAGUGUGGCUACUCUCAGUGACGCACUUCGGUUAUUCUGUUAAAUCAUUCCCCCGUCACGCGUAUUCACGCGGAAGGGUAAUCUGUCAGAUUUAGAUUGUCAAUUGAAAAGCACUCCUCUAUUAGGUAAAUUAUUUAUAAUUAUAAUAAUUGAGUAAAUGUAGUAGCGUGGGUGAAUUAUUGAUAUGGCAUACAUGCAACGAUAGAUUAUUAAUGCACUAAAGUGUUGUGUUUUUAUAUUUAUUAAUGUCGUUUGCUGUCUGGAUGUCAAAGCUUCAUUAGGAAACCAUUUGUUUUUUCCCCCCUCCAAAAAUGAUUAAAAACAACAAAUAUUU